UCAUCAGAAAAAUACCACAAGAACAUGUUAAAGACACCAAAAACAUGAUUUUCUUUGGAGUGGGUCUUUAAUUAUUGACAGUCCUAGAAUCUCUCCUCAGUGAGGGCAGACAUGCUGACAUUUUUUUUUCUAAAAACUUGUUAAAAAAAUAACUUCUGUCAGGAGAAAUUACAUAAUCUCACAGAGAAAGCUGAAUCUGACCGUGAUAGUCAACUCUCCUCUGCUCAGCACAUUUGUUUUCAUGGCUCUAGUGGUUAUGGUUAAUUAUUAUCCUAAGAUAAUAGCCAUGAAGAUUCAGCCUUUAGUCCGUUCCCAUUUUUUUCUUUUUUAAUUCUGUGAAGAGUUUUACCUUAACAUUACCUUGUUGUUUUGUUUGCUUUCUCUUUAAAGCUCUGAUAAAUGGAGCUUUAAGUCUGUCCAGUGAACCUGCAGUGAACCCCAGCAUACCCUGAUCGACCCCCCCCCCUUAGGCCAUUAUGGCAGCGCGUGGGUCUGGAACAGUUACAGCGACCUCGUGUCAUCUAGUGACUCGCUGAGGUUUGUCUUUAUUUUAUCCACAAGAGGGAAGCAAUGACGGCGGCUCGGUGCACAUCGAAGCGAGCGAGCCAUCCUCGUCACGCUUAACGGUUAGCUGCGGUUUCAUCGAUGCUGCUUUUGGUGACAUUAAACUCCCCUCCUGAACCUGUGCAGAUUACAAUCAGAUCCGUAAACAUUUACCAUAAUCUAAACACAUGAGCCUGUCUGGAGGGAAUUUUCAUAAUGCCACUUAAAGAGGCAGUAGAAACAUUUUAAAAGGAUCGAUAAAACAGGUUUACUGAUAAAAUUACAGCCACUGAGAUGGAAUAGUCCAUGCAGCGUUCUCCUGUCAGCAUAUGGGGCCCUCUUUGUGGUCUCUGUGUGAAUGGGGGGGGGAUUGUACUGAGAUAGGACAUGGCAGCCCGUCCCCGACAGGGCCUCUUGGUGCAGAUGGUCCUCUCUACAGUGUAACCUGUGCCAGCGAGGUUACUGCCGUUCACUGAGACCUGCUGCCAGCCCCCACCAGCCGGCACAUCCUACCCCCCCCCCACCCCCCACUCGCACAAAUGUGCGCACGGAACCUGCAGGAUCAGUUUUUGAGUCGGCUCAUGUCUGAUUUUUUUUUUUUUUCUUUUGUUUCCUGGAUGUCAUUGCGCUGAUCACGUUUCACUAGGUGUGGGGACUUCUCAGAAAGCCCCCUCCAGUCCGCCCUCCACACCGAGCCCCCGGCAUGCCGUGCUGCCCAUUGGCCUUCCUGAACGAGGCAGCACACUGUGAUUGGAGGGAAAAGAAGGCAAGUCUGCACAAGGACCACUUACAGACUGACAUGGAACGAGGAAGAAGAGAUUUUUGGUUUGUUCUAAUGUGAAGAAGUGAAACUUCCCUGAAAGUACAAGUUAACACACUUUGGUAAAAGUUUUUUUAAGGAAAGAACCUGUAACUUUGAAGUAAAAGCUUCAUCGGGUGGUUGGAGGGAGUCUUCUUCUGUCUUUAGUCUCUUUUACUUCAAAGACCCGACAGGAAGUUCAGUUUUAUUUUUUUUACAUUAAAAAAAAAAAAAACGUGCGCGAACUUGUCCUGUUCUCACUGGGUGAACCGAGGACAUUCGUUUCUUCAGUUGAGUUAUGUAAGAGGCCUGUUUGAAGAGAACAGAGAACCCACAUGGAAGGGGGGCGGGGAGUCCUGUAUCUAAUGUUGAGUCUGGAUCUUUCUUGUACUCAAACCCUCCUGAAAUCAGGUCACAACGCUGAUCGGAAUCUAAAAAUCCAAGUGUUUUGAUCAGCCUGACUGUUUGCUUGAGUUUAUAGGAGUUAAGACAACAUUACACAGUUGGUGUUCUCUCCUCCUAUUCCUCCUUUACCUGGACAUGAUCACAUUAAACUAACUGGUGAAUUACAUGCACCGCUUUGAAAUAACUCUCCUGUCCCAGCUGUUCAAUGUCCUUUUCUCUGUCUCUAUAAGGGGACAUCUAAUGGGAUUUAAUCCAGCACCUCUGACUGCCAGUCCUGCAGCUCUAAAUAUAACACCAGGGAGAAAAUAUAGCUGUUCUGUGUUCCUUCAUCACCGUUCUGCAUGGCCGUUUAUCUCCUCCCCACCACGUGAGCUUGCUCUGCAUGCACACCAGCCUCUCAUUGCUUUGUUUUUAUGAACUCUGGUUACAUUUGAGAACCCCUGAACCAAAAUUUGAAGAGUACGAAAAGGGAAUCUUAAAAGAUGCUGUUUCGUGCAUGCACGGCAAAAGGCUGGGAUGACCUACAAAACUUGCACAUCCAGCGAAUGGGGUUAUAAGCAAGCGAACUGCAAACCGGGCUGAGAGGAUUGUUCUCUCUGUGUCAGGCUGAUUCAUCAACACGAAGGUCACCGUGUGGAAGUUGUCUGUUACUCACCUGCUGCCUCUGAGAACUUUGGGACCGAUGUGCCGCGGUAUCACCUCCAGCCACAUCACGAGCCUCGCUCCAGUCCGGAUCGCCAGUCUGCCAAAAACAAGCCUGUUAUCUCCAUUGAGAUUAAAUACUACUUACCAAGCCA